rnacentral:lncRNA from 1 species
CUGAUUUUUUCCCUCUUCUUUUAAUUUUGUAAUGAGAGUCACUAUAUUUCUUAGCUCCAUUCCAAAAUAUUAACUGGGGAGCUGCUCAUUUAUAAUAGUGCCAAACUUCUGACAGACAGAAAUUAUAAAAGAGGCCCCAGAAAAGCAUCAGAAAAAAAGGGAAACUUUUAAACAGAAAUGGUAAUUUGAAAUACUGACCCUAGGUUUAAAAUUUAGAAAAGGCCUGUUUUCUGGAGCAGUCAUCUGGAUGGUCCAACAGCUCCCUCUACUCCUCCAAGAGGGAAACAUGAAACACAGCAGGGCUGUGUGGAAGUGUGAGCAGCCCAGGCUUGGGGAAAGCCACAUGUUUCCUUGUUCCAGCCAGGAGCUCCAAAAUGGCCUCCUCAUGCUGUUAAGAAACGUAAUCGUGGCGGCGCUGGGACUGAGGACAGAAGCAACUGCGUCAUGUGCAGUCCCGCACAGCAGAGGCGUUCCCCGCACCAGCAUCCUGCACAAGAGCCAGCAAAGAGAGGCGCGCGUGGAAUUAAAAUCCGGGGUAGCCCCCGGCUUCUCACUGAGCACCCACCACCAACAAUGCUCAGCAGUGGAACGUGGACCAACUAAGAGGCAACCCUUCCUGCUGCCGCUUCCGCAGUCAGAAGGUGAAGACAGAGAGCAAACCUCCAGGAGAGGGCUCUGCUCCACUUUCUCCGGGACAUGGACGGGGCAGGUGACUGUUUCACGCUGUCAUGGGACACAUCAACUUCCAUCCCUGCUUUACCAUAUUAAAUGCUCUACAGUGGAGCUUACUUGAAGAAACUGAAAAUUUGAGCAGGUGGGCUCUUUG